GACCUGAAUCAGAAAACAUAAAUCUUUACUGUUUUUAAGAAACUGAGUAUGUGUCUUAGUAUGUAUAUAAUAUGUGUGUCUGUUGAUUUCUAGAGUCGCUUGGAUGUGUAUCUAUCACAUAAUCCAGCAGGAACUUCUGUUCAAAACAUGUUCCAUUGGACCCAGGCUGUUAAGUCUGGGAAAUUCCAAGCUUAUGACUGGGGAAGCCCAGUUCAGAAUAGGAUGCACUAUGAUCAGUCCCAACCUCCCUACUACAAUGUGACAGCCAUGAAUGUACCAAUUGCAGUGUGGAACGGUGGCAAGGACC
rnacentral:lncRNA from 1 species